UAACUGAAUUUAUUUAUUUACAUCAAAACGAACAACGAAACUCAAACAAUUAGUUACACUAGUAUCAAAUUACACCACAAUAAACAUAACAAGUGCUUAAAUUUAAUUUGUAGGCUAGGAUAUAUGAGUUAUGUCAAAACAAACAAUGAAAAAAAAAUAAUACUCCAGAAAAACUCCAAUACUUCUGCACAUGAGUUAUGUUGGAUCUAAGGAUUCGUCAAUCCAAACGCCUCCCAAUUGGAAAAAAUAAUAUCGUCUCCACUCUCAGUACAGCCACUUGAAACAAAAAUUACAUAUGCCUUUCA
rnacentral:lncRNA from 1 species